rnacentral:lncRNA from 1 species
UAUGCGAAGAUUGUCCCAGUAAACAUCACGUGGUUCAGGGGCCCAAUCUGUGAGCCAAAUUGUGGGAUUGUUUGAUUGUUGUGUUUGAGCACAAACAGCUGCACCCCAUCGCGAUUUAAAUGAAACGAAUGCUGCAGGUACAAUUGCAUUUGCAUCAUUCAACACCCUUUCUCUUUCUGCUUCCUCCUAUUAUUGUAUUUAAAAAAAAAAAAAAAAAGACUAGGUUAUGGAAAUUGUAUUAUAUAAAUAAAUCAAUCAUUCUUGACUAGUUUGUAUACUUACUUCUUUGCUUAGAGCCUCGAUUUGUUGUGUAUAAAAAUCAAUCGCAUCCACAUGUUUUCCCCAAAGACCCAAAAAACCUGUCUAUAUAGAUACCUAAACUUAAAAUGACUUGAACAGCAAUGAAAGAUGUCAUGUCAGCUAAAUGAAGUCUAGUCAAAUACCUUGGUAGUUGGCCUUUUAUUAGGGUUUCUCUCAAACUUGUUGGUGUAGUAAGUAAGCCAAUUUUGCAAAGUCUUCUUCAUUAUCACCAUAUCUGCAAGAGCAUUUGCAUUGUACACCACCUAAUACUCCAAAAUUACAUAUCCAGAUUAGCCAAAUGUAUGAAAUAGGUUCCACAAAAAAGAAGCUCGCACACCUGAUGUGAAAGAUAAUGAUCAGGGUGAUUAACACAGAAGAAAUGUUCAACAUGCUCACUAAUAGACUCAUCAUCGUCUGGAGGAACAUUUCUCACAAGAACCUACAAGACCAAUUAUAUUUUAUGAUUAUUAAUUACUCCAUAACUUUUUUUUCAAAAUCAUAUAUCUCUGCCCAUUUUUGUUGACUAUUACUCACUGUAAAUUGAUCAGGGCGACGUCUUUCAGCAGCAAGAAAAUGAAGCCUCAUUUUUGUUACAAUCCUGUAUUCAUUGUAAAGGGCGUAGCAUGUCCAUAAUGUGAAGACGUAAGCCAUUACUAUAUGGGCAUAUAACCUGAUA